UAGGGAAUCUUCCGCAAUGGACGCAAGUCUGACGGAGCAACGCCGCGUGAGUGAAGAAGGUUUUCGGAUCGUAAAACUCUGUUGUUAGAGAAGAACAAGUGCUAGAGUAACUGUUAGCGCCUUGACGGUAUCUAACCAGAAAGCCACGGCUAACUACGUGCCAGCAGCCGCGGUAAUACGUAGGUGGCAAGCGUUGUCCGGAUUUAUUGGGCGUAAAGCGAGCGCAGGCGGUUCCUUAAGUCUGAUGUGAAAGCCCCCGGCUCAACCGGGGAGGGUCAUUGGAAACUGGGGAACUUGAGUGCAGAAGAGGAGAGUGGAAUUCCAUGUGUAGCGGUGAAAUGCGUAGAUAUAUGGAGGAACACCAGUGGCGAAGGCGACUCUCUGGUCUGUAACUGACGCUGAGGCUCGAAAGCGUGGGUAGCAAACAGGAUUAGAUACCCUGGUAGUCCACGCCGUAAACGAUGAGUGCUAAGUGUUGGAGGGUUUCCGCCCUUCAGUGCUGCAGUUAACGCAUUAAGCACUCCGCCUGGGAAGUACGACCGCAAGGUUG
rnacentral:rRNA from 1 species